UACGGAGGGUGCAAGCGUUAAUCGGAGUUACUGGGCGUAAAGGGCGCGUAGGCGGUUAAGUGAGUGUGAUGUGAAAGCCCUGGGCUUAACCCAGGAAUUGCAUCUGAUACUGCUUGGCUUGAGUACGGUAGAGGAGGGUGGAAUUCCCAGUGUAGCGGUGAAAUGCGUAGAUAUUGGGAGGAACACCGGUGGCGAAGGCGGCCCUCUGGACCGAAACUGACACUGAAGCGCGAAAGCUAGGGGAGCAAACGGG
rnacentral:rRNA from 1 species